UACAGAGGUCCCAAGCGUUGUUCGGAUUCACUGGGCGUAAAGGGUGCGUAGGUGGCUUGGUAAGUUCGAUGUGAAAUCUCCGGGCUUAACCCGGAAAUGGCAUUGAAUACUAUUGAGCUGGAGGUUUGGAGGGGGGACUGGAAUUCGUCGGUGUAGCAGUGAAAUGCGUAGAUAUCGAGAGGAACACCAGUGGCGAAGGCGAGUCCCUGGACAACACCUGACACUGAGGCACGAAAGCUAGGGGAGCAAACAGG
rnacentral:rRNA from 1 species